GCAUACAACUUUUUUUGUUGGUUUGUGUGUGUGUGUGUAUGAGAAAGAGAGAGAGAGAGAGAGAGAGAGAGAGAGAGAGAGAGUUACCUCACUUAGGAUAAUAAUUUCUAGUUCCAUCCAUUUGCCUAUGAAUUUCACAAUUUCAUUGUUUUUAAGAGCUAUGUAGUAGUCCAUUGUGUAGAUGUACCACAAUUUCUGUAUACAUUCCUCUGAUGAAGGGCAUCUGGUUUCUUUCCAGAUUCUGGCUAUUGUAAAUAAGGCUGCUAUGAACAUAGUGGAGCAUCUGCCUUUGUUGUGUAUUAGAGCAUCAUUUGGUAUAUGGCCAGGAGUGGUACAAUUGUGUCCUCAGGUAGCACAAUGCCCAAUUUUCUGAGGAACCUCCAGACUGUUUUCCAGAGUGACUGUAUUAGCCUGCAAUUCCACCAACAAUGGAGGAGUAUUCCUUUUUCUCCAUAUCCUCCCUAGCAUCUAUUUUCACCUUAGAUUUUGAUCUUAGCCUUAUGAAUGGUGUGAGAUGGAAUCUCGGGGUUUUUUGUUUGUUUGUUUUGUUUUGUUUGAUUUGCAUUUCACUGAUGACUAAGCAUGUUUAACAUUACUUUAGUUCUCAGCCAUUUGAUAUUCCUCAGCUGAGAACUCUUUGUUUAGCUCUGUAGCACAUUUUUAAAUAUGAUUAUUAGGCUCUCUGGCAUCUAACUUCUUGAGUUCUUUGUAUAUUUUGGAUAUUAGCCCUCUAUAGGACAUAGGAUUGGUAAAGAUCUUUUUCCUAUCUGUUGGUUGCUGUUUUGUCCUAAUGACAGUGUCCUUUGCAGUUUGUUGAAAUCCCAUUCAUCAAUUCUUGAUCUUAGAGAAAAAUAAAUUGGUGUUUUCUUCAGGAAAUUUUCCCCAGUGCCCAUGUGUUCGAGGCUCUUCCUCACUUUUUCUUCUAUUACUUUGAAUGUAUCUGGUUUAAUGUAGAGUUUCUUGAUCCACUUAGACCUGAGCUUUGUACUGGGCCAUAAGAAUGGAUCGAUCUGCAUUCUUCUACAUACUGACCUCCAGUUGACCAGCGCCAUUUGUUGAAAAUGCUAUUUUUUUUUCUGCUGGUAGGUUUUAGCUCAUAUCAAAUGGCCAUAGGUUUGUGGGUUCAUUUCUGGGUCUUCAAUUGUAUUCCUUGGAUCUACCUGCCUGUCACUGUACCAAUACCAUACAGUUUUUAUCACUGUUGCUCUGUAAUACUGCUUGAGGUCAGGAAUGAUGACUCCUCCAGAAGUUCUUUCACUGUUGAGGAUAGUUUUCGCUAUCGUGUGUUUUUUGUUAUUCCAAAUAAAAUUGCAAAUUGCUCUUUCUAACUCUAUGAUGAAGUGAGUUUGAUUUUGAUGGAAAUUGCAUUGAAUCUGCAGAUUCUUUUUUGCAAAAUGGCCACUUUUACUAUAUUAUUCCUGCCAAUCCAUGAGCAUGGGAGGUCUUUCCAUCUUCUGAGAUCUUCUUCAAUUUCUUUCUUCAGAGACUUGAAAGUUCUUGUCAUACAGAUCUGUCACUUGCUUGGUUAGAGUCACACCGAGGUACUUUAUGUUAUUUGGGACUAUUGUGUAGGGUGUCAUUUCCCUAAUUUCUUUCUCAGUCUGUUUAUCCUUUGAGUAGAGGAAAGGUACUGAUUUGUUUGAGUUAAUUUAAUACCCAGCCACUAUCCUGAAGUUCAUUACCAGGUUUAAUAGUACUAUGGUAAAACUUUUGGGGUCAUUUAAAUAUACUAUCAUAUCAUCUGCAAAUAGUGUUAUUUUGACUGUUUCCUUUCCAAUUUGUAUUCCUUUGUCUUUCUUUUUUUGUCUAAUUGAUCUGGCUAGGACUUGAACUCUAUAUUAAAUAGGCAGAGAGAGAGAGAGAGAGAGAGAGUGGGAAGCCUUAUCCACCCCCGGAUUUUAGUGGAUUGCUGUAAGUUUCUCUUCAUUUGAAUUGAUGUUGGCUACUUGUUUGCUAUAUAUUGCUUUUACUAUGUUAAGGCCUUGAAUUGCUGAUCAUUCCAAGACUUUUAACAUGAAGGGGUGUUGAAUUUUGUCAAAUGCUUUCUAAACAUCUAAUGCGAUGAUCACGAGGUUUUUUCUUUCAGUUUGUUUACAUAGUAGAUGACAUUGAUGGCUUUCCAUAUAUUGAACCAUUCCUGCAUCCAUGGGAUGAAACCUACUUGAUCAUUAAGGAUGAUCAUUUUGAUAUGUUGUUAGGUUCAGUUUGUGAGAAUUUUAUUGAGUGUGUUUGCGUCAAUAUUUGUAAGGGAAAUUUUUCUGAAGUUUGCUUUUUUUGUUGGGUCUUCGUGUGGUUUAGGUAUAAGUGUUAUUGUGGCUUCAUAGAAGGAAUUGGAUAGUGCUCUGUCUGUUUCUAUUUUGUGGAAUAGUUUGGGCAAUAUUGGUUUGGGAUCUUCUAUGAAGGUCUGAUGUAAUUCUGGAUUAAAACCACCUGGUCCUAGACUUUUAUUGGUUGGGAGAUUUUUAAUAACUGUUUCUAUUUCUUUAGGAGUUAUGUGGUUGUUUAGAUGGUUUAAUUGAUCCUGAUUUAACUUUGGUACCUAGUAUCUGUCUAGAAAAUUGUCCAUUUCAUCAAUAUUUUCUAGUUUGGUUGAAUAUAGGCUUUUGAAGUAGGAUCUGAUGAUUUCUAGAAUUUCCUUAGAGUCUGUUAUGUCUCCCUUUUCAUUUCUGAUUUUGUUAAUUUGGAUAAGCUCUCUGCACUCUCUGCUUAGUCUGGCAAAAGUCUGAUUUUUCUCAAAGAAUUAGCUUCUGGUUUUGUUGAUUCUUUAUAUAGUUCCUUCUGUUUCUACUUGGUCAGUUUCAGCCCUGAGUUUGAUUACUUUCUGUUGUCUCUUUCUCUUGAUUAUAUUUACUCCUGUCUGUUCUAGAGCAUUUGGGUAUGCUGUCAAGCUGCUGAACUAUGUUCUCUCCAGAUUUUUUUUCAUAAGCACUGAUAGCUAUGAGUUUUCCUGUUAGCACUCCUUUCAUUGUGUCCCAUAAAUUUGGGUAUGUUGUACCUUCAUGUUCAUUAAGUUCUAAAAAGUCUUUAAUUUCUUACAUUAUUUCUUCCUUGACCAAGUUAUCAUUGAGUAGAGUGUUGUUUGACUUCCAUGUAUAUGUGGGCUUUCUAUCAUUUUGGUGUUAUUGAAGACAACCCUUAUUCCUUGGUGAUCUGAUAGGAUGCAUAGGAUUAUUUCCAUCUUCUUGUAUCUGUUUAGACAAAUAUGGUCAGUUUUGGAGAAGGUACAUGAGGUUCUGAAAAGAAGGUAUAUUUUGUUUCAGGAUGAAAUGUUCUAUAAAUAUCUGUUAAAUCCAUUUGGCUCAUAACUUCUGUUAGUUUCUGUAUGUCUCUGUUUAGUUUCUGUUUCCAUGAUCUGUCCAUUGAUGCAAGUGGGGUGUAGAAAUCUCCCAUCAUUAUUAUGUUAGAUGCAAUGUAUACUUUGAGCUUUAGUAAGAAGUCUCUUGUGAAUGUACUUUCCUUACAUUUGGAGCAUAGCUAUUCAGGAUUGAAAGUUCAUUUUGGUGGAUUUUUCCUUUGCUGGAGACAAAGUGUAGUUCCUUAUCUUUUUUGAUAACGUUUGGUUGAAAGUUGAUUUUAUUUGGUAUUAGAAUGUGUACUCCAGCUUGUUUCUUCAGAGCAUUUGCUUGGGCAAGUAUUUUCCAACCUUUUACCCUGAGAUAGUGUCUGUCUUUGUAACUGAGGUGUGUCUCCUGUAUGCAGAAAAAUGCUGUGUCCUCUUUACAUAUCCAGUCUGUUAGUCUAUGUCUUUUUAUUGGGGAAUAGAAUCCACUGAUGUUAAGCGAUAUUAAAGAAUAGUGAUUGUUGCUUCCUGUUAAUUUUGUUGUUAGAGGUGGAUUUAUGCUUUUGUGUUUCUCUUCUUUUGGUUCUGUUGCAAGGAGAUUACUUUCUUGCUUUUUCUAGGGUGUAGUUUACUCCUUGUGUUGAAGUCUUCCAUCUAUUAUCCUUUGUGGGGCUAGAUUUGUGGAAAGAUAUUGUGUAUUUUUUGUUUUGUUAUGGAAUAUCUUGGUUUCUCCAUUAAUGAUAAUUAAGAGUUUUUCUGGAUAUAGUAGCCUUGGCUUGCAUUUGUGUUCUCUUAUGGUCUGUAUGACAUCUGCCCAGGAUCUUCUGGCUCUCAUAGUCUCAGGUGAGAAGUCUGGUAUAUUUUCAUAGGUCUGCCUUUGUAUGUUACUUGACCUUUUUCCCUUACUGCUUUUAAUAUUCUUUCUUUGUUUUGUUCGUUUGGUGUUUUGAUUAUUAUGUGACAGGAGAAAUUUCUUUUCUGGUCCAAUCUGUUUGGAGUUCUGUAGACUUCUUGUAUGUUUAUGAGCAUAUCUUUCUUUAAAUUAGUGAUAUUUUCUUCUAUAAUUUUGUUGAAGUUAUUAGCUGGCCCUUUAAGUUGGCUCUUUGUUCUCUUUUAUACCUAUUAUACUUAGGUUUGACCUCACUGUGUCCUGGAUUUCCUGCAUAUUUUGGAUUAGGAGGUUUUUGCUGUUUUACAUAAUCUUCUGUGUUAUCUUCUGCCCCUGAGAUUUUUUCUUCUGUCUUUUGUGUUAUGUUGGUGAUGCUUGAGUCUAUGACUCCUGAUGUCUUUCUUAGGUUUUAUAUCUCCAGGGUUAUCUCCCUUUGUGCUUUCUUUAUUGUUUCUAUUUCCAUUUUUAAAUCCUCAAUGCGUUUUUUUCAAUUCCUUCAUCUAUUUGGUUUUAUUUUCCUGUAAUUCUUAAACAGAUUUUUCUGUUUCCUCUUUAAGGGCUUUUACUUGUUUACCUGUGUAGUCCUGUAUUUCUUUAAAAGAGUUAUUUAUGUCCUUCUUAAAGUCCUCUAUCAUCAUCAUAGUCCUCAAACACAUCAUCAUGUGUUUUUAAAUCCAAAUCUUGCUUUCCUGGUGUGUUUGGACUUCUAGUAUUUGCUUUGGUGGGAGAACUGGGCUCUGAUGAUGCCAAGUAGUCUUGGUUUUUGUUGUUGAGAUUCCUGUGCUUGCCUUUUGCCAUCAGGUUGUCUCUCGAAUUAGCUUUUCUUCCUCUCUCUGAAGUGGCAUGACCUUCCUGCAAGCUUGUGUGUUAGCAAUCCUGUAGACCUGCUUUCUUUCAGCUUGAUUUGGAAAUAUGUGUUUGUGUCUCCUGAAGCCUCCAGUUUUUUGCAAGAUGCUUAAGCUGUGAUAUUCAGCUUCUCGUCUGAACAUAAAAUAAUGCAACCUUAUACAGAUUCUGCUCCACACAUCUUCCCGUUCUUCUCUGAGAAAGGUGAACCCCCACUUGAUAGUAUCCAGCUGAUUCCAACUUAUAGUGAAAUAAGUAGAACAAAUCCCAGUGUUAUACUUUCAAUGAUUUUUUAAAGAAGAAUUUGUCAUCAACACAAAUUGUGAAAUUCAACAGAUUCAAGGGCCACUGUCAUCAAGACUGCCACCCCAUCAUAUUCAUUAUUAACAAGAACCAACUGAUGUGCUCUGUAUUCUAUCCUGCAUCAUAAUCUUGGGUAACUACAUGCUAAAAUUCAUCUUGAAUAUGUUUAAAUCAUCCCCACUGAAAAUCAUGCAUGUGUUGUAUUUGUUUUAUAUUUUUUAAGCAGACAAUAAUUUAAGGGAAUAAAAAUCGACAGACUUGAGAGAUGGUUUGGGAAAGACUAUGAAAUUAAAUCAUGAGUGUCUGAGUUCAGAUGACUUCAUCCAUGCAGAUAGCCAGCCAUAUUGAUAUGUUAGCCCCAGCACUGUGGUGAGUAGAAACAGAAUAGCUGGGGUUUGAUUGUUUUCACUGUAACUGGGUAUUCUGAAACAGCUUUGUCAAGGAAAUAAGGUAGACAUUGGGAUAACAGGACACUCAACAUUCUCCUCAUAGCUCUUUAGCAAGCAGGCAUAACCAUUAGCACACACUUGCAGUUAUGUGACACACUGAUACACAUUUACAUACAGACAAAAAGACCUUCCGUGAACUUAACACCUUUUUGCUCAGAUGAUAGGGUCAAAAAUAAAGAUAGGACACUUGAAUGUGAAUUAUUUAGAAGUACUGCCCUCAAAGAAGAAAGCAGGUCAAAAAAUCAAUGAUAGACCUCUGACAUCACAUGAUAAUCCCCAAAAUGAACAUUUUUCCACUUAUUUUUUUUUCCAUCCUCAAUUGAGUCAGUAUAAUUUUUCUAAGUGUCUCCUUCUAAAAUCCUAUGGACUGGGUUACUAAUGAUGAAUUCUGAUUUUAGCACUUUUAUUUGCAUAAAAUGUACUGUUUAAUUCAGCUCAGUUUGGGUAAUUUUUCUGUUAAAAGAAAGUAAGAUUUAAUACAACAUAAAGUAAUGAAGAUUAAAUGAUGUUGCACAUGUAAAGCAGUCACUGGUAUGAUAGUCACUCUCAGGGCAAAUCAUCAGGAACUCCAUGCAGACCCGAAGUAUCAAGACCUUUAAGAGCAGUCAAGUAUUCUUAAUGUUCACUGCAUUUCCUCUUUUCUCCCUCAUAUGAUGUUAUUUUAAAAUGCCUACAGCACGGGAACAUAAAUUCCCUGGGAAGGGUCAUAACUACUUAUUACAAUUCAAAAAGAUAUUGUCAGAAGUUCAGAACGUUCAGACCUAAGGGAUACAAGUAUACCACACAACUCCUUUUGAGGUGCAUGGAUCAUGAGAGAAGAUGGAGUAGAAAGAAUAUGAAUGAGAAGUUGAAGAGGACCCCUAAGGAACCAACAUAUUCUGGAUACAGGAAGGAAGCUGCACAUAUAGACCCCAUGCUGUUGUCACAAUACACACAAAAUCCAGGCUGCCCCACACUAGACAAAGUCCUAGAACGAAGAGGAGAGAGGGAUACAAGUUUCUACGAGAUGAGGACCUACUGGCAAUUGAUAACUGUUGGGAGAGGGAAACCCAGGUUUCUCAAAGCAAGUGGACGCUGGUGAGUUAAGAGUAUUCCACUGCACGAAUAUGAAGCGGAAAGCAGUCUUGAUUAGAUUUGUAAAAUAAAGAAAUAGGAAACACCUGGGAUAAGCAAGGAAAGGACUUAAAUCAAGAAAGAAUGGGAGAGAGAAUAAUUACGCGAUCAAAGCAGUGCAUGAAAAUUUCACAUAACUAGCCAAAGCAUUCCUUUAAUAUUGGAAAUGGUUUAAACUGAGCCAGAAUUUUAACUUUGUAUUAUUUAGUGGACAUUCAUUUUCUUAAACGAUUAGGAUACUGAAACUCAGAUAAUUUCCACUUUCCCUAUUCACCAGGAGCUAUUUCAAUCAAGUGUUCAAAUUGAACGCAGAACGCUAUAAUUGUUAAAUGAUUAUCACUGUAAAAUUAUUAAGAAUAUUUCCUUAAAUUCUUUGAUAACUAAUUGAAGCUUGUAGAAUUUACUUUGAAUUCUCUUUCUUAUCUAAAAUUUUAAAACUUGUAUAUUAAUGAAAGUGCAUUUUUUUUGAACUCUCAACAUAUAAAUUUAUUUUUGAGAUAAAUGUUAUCAUCGCCAAAGUAAAAUACUGAUUUAGCACAUUUUAGUCUAUCUUGUUUCUUACAUAGAGGAGUGAUCAGCAAGAACACUGCUAAUAUCUUGCUAAGCCUGAGUUAUAAUGCAUGACAGAAACUGCCAGCUUAUAUAAUAUGCUUGUUUUCUUUUGCAACAGAAAAUGUAAUACCAAAUAAUAACAAGUAUAAAAUUUAAAAUAAAACUUAAAACAAGAUAAUACAACAGAAAACUUAAUACAAAAGGGUAAGAACUGAUUGUAUCUAUUAUUAAAACAACAUGUAAAGACAAAGCCCAGAUCAAACCAAAACAAAUUGACUUAUUCAAAGGGGUCAACACUGAUAACUGGUACUGUAAUGGAACAGUGAAAAUCCAACUGUGGUCAGUGGGCCAAUGACAAAGCAUACUGUUUAACAAUCUACAAUGAGGUAAACAUGGAGAGUGUGCAUUCGAAAAUGUAACAAAUUCAAUGAUUUAAAACUAUGAUCCUAUUUAUUGAAAAAUAUCAGAAAACUGGGCUCCUUUUUCAUGGUUUGGGUUAAAAAUGUACUUAAUUAAAAAGUUAGUCAAAAAUUCACUGGACAUUUUUCAAAAAUUGUUUUUUUUACCAAAACAACUUGAGGAAAUAUCUCUUCAAGAAAUAUGAUUUAAAAUGUUAAAGCUGGAUUCUCAUUAAUCAUUUUUACACGUACAAGGGCUAAAGUUUCUGUAAUGUUCUCUUCCAAGUUUAUCACAUACAGAUCAUGUAAUUUCUUUGCUAGAAAAAUUACCAGAUCGAUCAUGUGGAGACUACAUCAAUACUUAUAAUAUUAAUAUUUUGUCAACUAGGCUUACAUGGAAUACCAGGAGAGAAGGGAGAUCCAGGACCUCCUGGGCUUGAUGUUCCAGGACUCCCUGGAGAGAGAGGUAGUCCAGGGCUCCCUGGAGCCCCUGGUCUUAUAGGACCUCCAGGAUCACCUGGUAUCCCUGGAAGAGCAGGUGUCCCUGGAUUUCCAGGUUUUUUUAAAGUAUGUUCCAGCUAUUGUCAAGAAAACAGCUACAAACAUGUCAAAAAUGUCCACCUUUUUAUUGUUUCUGCUUCAGUCUGGGAACAUUCAACUCUACCUGGUUCAACUUAGCUAUUCCAGCUAUUCUGUUGCAGCCCAGUGCUAGUAGCAGCAGUAGUGAAUAACCAAGGGAGGUGGCCAGAAGCAGGAGCUGGAGCCACCAAGGGAGUAGCAGGAUGUGGCUAUGAUGUUCAUUGAAAGGCACCUGGGAGCAGUGUUAACAAGAAGCUGUGGUGAGAGCAAUAGCAAGCUUGCUUGGCGUUGGGUGGAGCUGAGGUCCCACAAUGCCUGCUUCAGGAGAGAAAACACUUUCCCAUAGUGUGAAAGCUAAAUAAAUCAGCCAUGCUGAAAUGAUUCUUGGUGUAAUAACUUGUGCACUCUAUUCAAUAUGGAUAAGGGCAUUAUAAAUGUUUUGGGUAUAAGAUAGGGUACAGGGAUAAAUGCUUCCCAUUGGCUCAGUCUGAGAUGUUAGGGAUGCUUUAUUGGCAUGGGGUGUUGUCCUUACAUGACGGCCAUGGCCCUUUCCACAGGGUGUCAUGAUUAUCUGUUCAAGGACAGGCCUGCUGUUCUCAAGUAUAAGACUUAUAUAAUUAUAAUAUUAUGUUACAUAAGACUUAUAUAAUUAUAAAACAAUUACAAGUUUUUAAACUAGUUUCAAUCUUACUAGUUCUUCUUUCUGAUGGCAAGAUCCACUUGGCCCACAUAUAGCCUCAAAAUAUUUUACUGAUCCACAUGCAGUAGUGUCAUGUCCGCCCUUACAACAAUAUAUACUAACCGCACAAGGCCGAGGUCUAUCUUACAAUCUUUUCUCAAGUGACCUCAUCUUCCUCACUUAAAACAAAGAUUUUGAUAUCUAGAAUUAUUGGCUAUUGCUUGUCCAGUUACUUAAUGAUUAGGGUCAAUAUCAACAGGAGUUUUAAUCCAUGCAUCCAUAGGUGCUGAUUGAGUUUUUAAAAGUCUAAGAGAGUUUUAACACUUUCCAUUUGUAUUUUUGAAGGAAUAGUGUCAAUUUAUAUCUAUGCACAUCUGAAUCUGACAUUGCUCUGUUUAUAGUAGAUGUUAAUCUAUGUGAGAAACCUGUAAAAGUUUCUCUGAGGCUUUGUAAAAUCUUUGUGAAUGACAGAGAUAUUUUCCUUGUCCCUCCACCUUAUCUUAGGUUAUUAAAGCUACUAAAAAAACAUUGUGUAAUAAUAGACAUUGACACAACCAUGAAUGAAAAUGUAAAAUGCAAAAAUCUAAGCCAACACAUCCAAUAAAUCCAGGAAAAAAAUGAGAAAAUAAAAGCUAAGGAUAAAGUGUAUAGAAUAGAGUGAAAAUUCCAAAUUUAAAGGAGCAGUAAAUAUCUUCAAAAAUUAUAGAAGAAAACUUCCAUAACCCAAAAAAAGAGAUGCCCAUAAACAUGCAAGAAGCAUAUAGAACUCCAUAAAGAUUGGAUGAGAAUAGAAAUUUCUCCUGUCACAUAAUAGUUAAAACAACAAAUGCACAAAACAAAGAAAGACUAUUAAGAGCAGUAAGGGAAAAAGGUCAAGUAAUAUGUAAAGGCAGAAGUAUCAAAUUAUACCAGACUUCUCAACAGAGACUAUGAAAGCUGAAAGAAACUGGUCAGAUGUGAUGCAGACCCUAAGAGAACACAAAUGCCACCCCAUGGUUCUACAUCCAACAAAACGCUUAAUGAACAUAGAUGGAUAAAUGAAGAUAUUCCAUGACAAAACCAAAUUUACACAAUAUAUUUCCACAAAUCCAGCCCUACAAAGGAUAAUAGAUGGAAAACUCCAACACAAGGAGGGAAAUGACACCGGAAAAAAGCAAGAAAAUAAUCUAUUUUCAACUUGCCCAACAGAACAUGGGCACACGAACAUAAUUCCACCUCUAACAAAAAUAACAGGAAACAACAAUCACUGUUCCUUAAUUUCUCUUAAUAUCAGUGGUCUUAAUUCCCUAAUAAAAAGACAUAAACUAACAGACUGGAUCCAUAACGUGAACCCAUCAUUCCGAUACAUAUGGGAAACACAUCUCAGUGACAAAGAUAGCAACUACCUCAGAGUAAAAAGCUGGAAAACAAUUUUCCAAGCAAAUGGUCCCAAGGUACAUGCUGGAGGAACCAUUCUAAUAAUGAAUAAAAUUGACUUUCAACCAAAAAAAAAAAGAUAAGGAAGAACACUUCAUAUUCAUCAAAGGAAAAAUCCAACAAGGUGAUUGCUCAAUCCUGAAUAUCUAUGCUCCAAAUGCAAGUGUAUCUAUAUUCAUAGAAGACACAUUACUAGAGCUCAAUGCACACAUUGUACCUCACACAAUAAUAGUGGAAGACUUCGACACCACACUCUCAUCAAUAGACAGAUCAUGGAAACAGAAACUAAACAGAGACACAGUGAAACAACAUAAGCUGUGAACCAAAUGGAUUUAACAGAUAUCUAUAGAACAUUUCAUCUUAAAACAAAAGGAUACACCUUUUUCUCAGCAUCUCACUCUACCUUCUCCAAAAUUGACCACAUAAUUGGUCACAAAAUAGGCCUCGACAGAUACAAGAAGAUUGACAUAAUCACAUGCAUCCUAUCAGAUCACCAGGGACUAAAGCUUGUCUUCAAUAACAACAAAAAUGAUUAAAAGCUCACAAACACAUGGAAGUUGAACAAGGCUUUAUUACUUGAUGAUAACUUAGUCAAGGAAGGAAUAAAGAAAUUAAAGAGUCUUUAGAAUUUAAAGAAAAUAAAGCACAACAUACCCAAACUCAUGGGAAACAAUGAAAGAAGUGCUAUAGGAGAACUCAUAGCUCUCAGUGCCUCCCAAAAGAGACUGGAGAGAACAUAUUUUAGCAGCUUGACACCUAAAACCACUAGAACAAAAGGAAGAAAAUAUACACAAGAGGCACUCAAAUCAGGAAAUAAUCAAACUCAUGCACAAUUCAACCAAGUAGAAACAAAAAGAACUAUAUAAAGAAUCAAAAACAACCAGAAGCUGGUUCUUUGAGAAAAUCAACAAAAUCGAUAAAGCCUAUGCCAGACUAUCCAGAGGCCACAGAAAAGACUAUCAACAUUAACAAAAUCAUAAAUGAAAAGCGAGCAAAACAACAAAAACUGAGGAAAUUAAAAAAAAAGCAGAUGCUACUACCAAAGACUAGACUCAAAAAUACUGAAAAAAUCUGGAUGAAAUUGAAAAGUUUCAAAGAGAUACCAGGUACCAAAGUUAAAUCGCAAUCAGAUAAACCAUCUAAAGAGUCCCGAUAACUUCUAAAGGAAUAGAAGCAAUCAAUAAAAGUUUCCAAACCAAAAAGAGUCCAGGGCUAGAUGGGUUUAGUGCAGAAUUCUAUCAGACCUUCAUAGACGACCUCAUACCAAUAUUAUCCAAACUAUUCCACAAAAUUGAAACAGAUGGAGCACUACCCAAUUCCUUCUAUGAAGCCACAGUUAAGAUUAUUCUUAAACCACACAAAGACCCAACAAGGAAAGAGAACUUCAAACCAAUUUUCUUUAUGAAUAUUGAUGCAAAAAUACUCAAUAUAAUUCUUGCAAACCGAAUCCAAGAAUACACCAAAAUGAUCAUCCAUAAUGAUCAAGUAGGCUUCAAUCAAGGGAUGCAGGGAUUGUUCAAUAUAUAGAAAUCCUUCAACGUAAUCCACUGUAAAAACAAAGUCAAGGAAAAAAAUACAUGAUCAUCUCAUUAGAUUCAGAGAAAGCUUUUGACUAAAUUCAACACCCCUUCAUGUUAAAAGUCUAGGAAAGAUCAGAAAUUCAGGGACAUACCUAAACAUAGUAAAAUAAUAUACAUCAAACCAGUAGCCAACAUCAAACUAAAUGAAGAGAAACUUGAAGCAAUCCCACUAAAAUCAGAGACUAGACAAGACUGCCCACUCUUUUUCUACCUAUUCAAUAUAGUGCUUGAAGUCCUAGCCAGAGCAAUCAGAAAAAGAAAAAAGAAGAAAAAAGGUUAAAGGUAUACAAAUUGAACAGGAAAAAUCAAAAUAUCACUAUCACUAUUUGCAGAUGACAUGAUAGUAUACUUAAAUGACCUCUAAAAGUUGCACCAGAGAACUCUGAAACCAGAAAAACAAUUUAAGCAAACUGGCUGGAUACAAAAUUAACUCAAGCAAAUCGGUAGCCCUCCUCUACUCAAAGGAUAAACAGGCUGAGAAAGAAAUUAGGGAAAUUACACACUUCACAGCAGUCACAAAUAAUAUAAAAUACCUCAGUGUGACUCUAACCAAGCAAUUGAAAGAUCUGUAUGAUAAGAAUUUCAAGUCUCUGAAGGAAGAAAUUGAAGAUCUCAGAAGAUGGAAAGAUCUCCCAUGCUAAUAAACUGGCAGGAUUAACAUUGUAAAAAUGGUGAUCUUGCUAAAAGCAAUCUACAGAUUCCAAGUAAACCCCAUCAAAAUUCCAACUCAAUUCUUCAUGGAGUAGAAAAGGUAACUUAGGCAAUUUGCUAAUUCAUUUGGAAAAACAGAAAAACCAGGAGAGCACAAACUAUCCUCAACAACAACAACAACAACAACAGCAACAACAACAAUAAUAAUAAUAAUAAUAAUAAUAAUAAUAAUAAAUACUUCUGGGGAAACCACCAUCCCUGACCUCAAGCUUUAUUACAGAGCAAUAGCGAUAACAGAAAAAACUUGUAUUGCUAGAGAGACAGGCAGGUAAAUCAAUGAAAUAGAAUUAAAGACCCAGAAAUGUACCCACACACACAUAGUCAUUUGAUCUUUGACAAAGGAGCUAAAUCCAUUCAGUGGAAAAAAGAGCAUUUUCAACAAAUGGUGCUGAUUCAAUUGGUGGAGAGAUGUGUAAGAAUGCAAAUGGAUCCAUUCUUAUUGCUCUGUACAAAGCUUAAGUCCAAGUGGAUCAAGGACCUCCACAUAAAAUCAGACACACUCAAACUAAUAGACGAGAAAUUGGGAAAGAACCUCGAACACAUGGGCACUGGGAAAAAUUUCCUGAACAGAACACCAAUGGCAUAUGCUGUAAGAUCAAGAAAAAAAAUAUAGAAAUAAAAAAAAAUUGAAAAAAAAAAGAAUUGCAAAGCUUCUCUAAGGCAAAUGAUAAUGUCAUUAGGACAUAAUGGAUAAAUCUUGGGAAAAGAUCUUUACCAAUCCUACAUAUGAUAGAGGGCUAAUAUUCAAUAUAUACAAAGAACUCAAGAAGUUAAACUCCAGAGAACCAAAUGGCCCUAUUAAAAAUGGGGUACAGAGCUAAACAAAGAAUUUUCAACUGGGUUAUAUGGAAUGGCUGAGAAGCACCUAAAGAAAUGUUCAACAUCCUUAGUCAUCAGGAAAAUGUAAAUCACAAUAGCCCUGAGAUUCCACCUCUUAUCAGUCAGAAAGGCUAAGAUAAAAAAAAAAGUGAGGUGACAAUAGAUGCUGGUGAGAAUGUGGAGAAAGGAAUACUCCUCCAUUCCUGGUGGGAUUGCAAGUUGGUACCCCUCAGUGUAGGUGAAUAUCAGGGUGGGGAGGGAAGGAGAGACUGGUGGUUUGGGAGCGGGAACACCUUC